UACUGAUGAACAGUUAAAUGAAUUUUUAAAAGGUACAGAAAAAUUU
rnacentral:sRNA from 1 species